GGCUGGUCGGAUGGGAGUG
rnacentral:miRNA from 1 species